UACGUAGGCAGCAAGCGUUGUUCGGAGUUACUGGGCGUAAAGAGUGCGUAGGCGGUGCUCUAAGUUUGGUGUGAAAUCUCCCGGCUCAACUGGGAGGGUGCGCCGAAAACUGGAGUGCUUGAGUAUGGGAGAGGCAAGCGGAAUUCCUGGUGUAGCGGUGAAAUGCGUAGAUAUCAGGAGGAACACCUGUGGUGUAGACAGCUUGCUGGACCAUCACUGACGCUGGAGGCACGAAAGCCGUGGGUAGCAAACAGG
rnacentral:rRNA from 1 species